rnacentral:rRNA from 1 species
AGUGAACGCUGGCGGUAGGCCUAACACAUGCAAGUCGAACGGCAGCACAGUAAGAGCUUGCUCUUACGGGUGGCGAGUGGCGGACGGGUGAGGAAUACAUCGGAAUCUACUUUUUCGUGGGGGAUAACGUAGGGAAACUUACGCUAAUACAGCAUACGACCUACGGGUGAAAGCAGGGGAUCUUCGGACCUUGCGCGAUUGAAUGAGCCGAUGUCGGAUUAGCUAGUUGGCGGGGUAAAGGCCCACCAAGGCGACGAUCCGUAGCUGGUCUGAGAGGAUGAUCAGCCACAUUGGAACUGAGACACGGUCCAGACUCCUACGGGAGGCAGCAGUGGGGAAUAUUGGACAAUGGGCGCAAGCCUGAUCCAGCCAUACCGCGUGGGUGAAGAAGGCCUUCGGGUUGUAAAGCCCUUUUGUUGGGAAAGAAAAGCAGCAGGUUAAUACCCCGCUGUUCUGACGGUACCCAAAGAAUAAGCACCGGCUAACUUCGUG